UCGAGAAUCAUUCACAAUGGGGGCAACCCUGAUGGUGCGACGCCGCGUGGGGGAAGAAGGUCUUCGGAUUGUAAACCCCUGUCAUGUGGGAGCAAGCAGCAAUGUUGAUAGUACCACAAGAGGAAGAGACGGCUAACUCUGUGCCAGCAGCCGCGGUAAUACAGAGGUCUCAAGCGUUGUUCGGAAUCACUGGGCGUAAAGAGUACGUAGGCUGUUUUCUAAGUCAGGUGUGAAAGGCAGGGGCUCAACCCCUGGACUGCACAUGAUACUGGGAGACUGGAGUAAUGGAGGGGGAACCGGAAUUCUCGGUGUAGCAGUGAAAUGCGUAGAUAUCGAGAGGAACACUCGUGGCGAAGGCGGGUUCCUGGACAUUAACUGACGCUGAGGUACGAAGGCCAGGGUAGCGAAAG
rnacentral:rRNA from 1 species